AAGACUAUACUUUCAAGGAUAAUUUCUAUAGUAUGUGACUAGAGAAGUUCUCUGAUUGUGAGAGCAACUGAAGCCACGAGGAGGAGUCAGAGCGUCCUCUCCUGAGUGUGAAGUUGGCUCUAGGUGUCGCUUCUGCGACUGCCUCUUGACACUGAUGAUCAUUCUUCCCUUCCUUUGGAAGGGGUAGAGGGAGAGGAUGCAGUCUGAGUGAA